rnacentral:rRNA from 1 species
CCUACGGGUGGCAGCAGUGAGGAAUAUUGGUCAAUGGACGAGAGUCUGAACCAGCAAAGUAGCGUGAAGGAUGACUGCCCUAUGGGUUGUAAACUUCUUUUAUAUGGGAAUAAAAUGUUCCACGUGUGGGAUUUUGUAUGUACCAUAUGAAUAAGCAUCGGCUAACUCCGUGCCAGCAGCCGCGGUAAUACGGAGGAUCCGAGCGUUAUCCGGAUUUGUUGGGUGUAAAGGGAGCGUAGGUGGAUUGUUAAGUCAGUUGUGAAAGUUUGCGGCUCAACCGUGAAAUUGCAGUUGAAACUGGCAGUCUUGAGUACAGUAGAGGUGGGCGGAAUUCGUGGUGUAGCGGUGAAAUGCUUAGAUAUCACGAAGAACUCCGGUUGCGAAGGCAGCUCACUGGACUGCAACUGACACUGAGGCUCGAAAGUGUGGGUAGCAAACAGGAUUAGAUACCCUUGUAGUC